AUGGACUUGAUGCUGGCUUCAUUAGAGCAUGUGCUCAGUCCUACUCAAUCCAAUUACACCUGUGCACUUUCAAAGAUUUGUAGUCCUCCGUAAUGGGAGCCAGUGACUUGUAAUGAGACACUUGGGAUUACAGUCUUUGCUCUUUAUCACAAACUAUUAUAAAGUCUUGUAGAAUGUUACUAGCCUAAGGGCUUAAUAUUAAUACAACUUUCAACAACGGAUCUCUUGGCUCUCGCAUCGAUGAAGAACGCAGCGAAAUGCGAUAAGUAAUGUGAAUUGCAGAAUUCAGUGAAUCAUCGAAUCUUUGAACGCACCUUGCACUCCUUAGUAUUCUGAGGAGUAUGCCUGUUUGAGUGUCUGUUAAUCAUCAAUUCAUCUUUACUUUGUUGUGAAGUUGAAUUGGAUUUGGGGAUUGCUGGCUCUGUAAUGAGUUGGCUUCCCUUGAAUGCAUUAGUUGAACUGAGAUUACAAUGCUAAGUGUAGUGUGAUAAUAUCUUCACUGCAUAGUUGUAGUUGAAGCUUGACUUCUAAUCGUCUGUAAUGGACAGCUCUUUGACCAUUAGACCUCAAAUCAGGUAGGACUACCCGCUGAACUUAAGCAUAUCAAUAUAUAUGCAUGUGCUCGGUCCUACUCAAUCUACUUAACACCUGUGCAUUUUCAAAGUUGUAGUCCUCCGUAAUGGGAGUCGUGUCUUGUAAUGAGACACUGGGACUAUGCUUUGCCCAUUAUCACAAACAUUAUUACAGUCUUGUAGAAU
rnacentral:rRNA from 1 species